AGGACUCAAACUGCACAGCUGGUCAUGUGGAAUCCAGCUGCGUUAACCACCACUCCACUAGCUAGCCCGGCCUGGAUGGUGUUUAAACACACAGCAAGAACUGUGGACUUCUGCUCUAGAGCGUGGACUGGACAUUCCCAGCUCUAAGGGGAGGCUGAGACAGUAAUCUUAUUUUUACUACCCAAGACAUUUGGCAUGUACAUGCCAAGAGAGUAAGAAGAAUCCGAAGACUCUUCCGACUACGUGGGAGUCCAGCGACACACCCAUUACACUAACUGCUGGUCCUGGAACCCAGUAUCUUAACCUCCAUGCCACCCGCUGGCCCUGGCUUUCCCCUUCUUUAGGGGUCAGAUUGACCUCGGCCCCACAGGCUAAACGAGCAGAAGGCAGGACAGGGAGGAACCACCCAGGAGGACCUCCAGGAUGCAAGAGUCCACGCCUGUGGGUGGGAGGCUGUGCAAGGAAGAUGCUUUCACCUAAGAUGUUGCUGCAAGAGGCUUCCAAAGGCACUACUUGAAUCCCCUCUCUGCGCAUGGAUAUUAUCCUUCCUGUCACUGUAGCCCGGGUCGUGGGUCCUGGAUACAGAGGUGGUGAGGGGCGGCUUCCUUUGAUCUGUCCUUAUCUUCCCUAAAGGAGUGUGUGGCCCAGGGCUCCCAGGCCAAACCUAUAAUUCAUAGUCUGGCCUCCUGCUUCAGAGGGGCUUUGGAGCUGAAAGUACAGCCCUAGCCCGUACCAGUCGCAUCCUCCCUCCAGGCCCUGGGGAUUAGGGUGUGGGGGGCUCUGCAUUCCUUCCGACCACCUCACCUCCAAUACUCAAGCUGCUGUGGACCAGGCCCAGGCUCAAAUGGACCCUGAGGAAGGCUGUAUGGCAUUUCAGCUGGAGAAAUGAAAAAGUGACAUUGUUUCUCCCCGGGAAUGUCAAGCCUUCCUUUCAGACCAGUGCUUUCCCAUGGGCCCCAUCUCACAGCACCCAGGGGAUCAAUCCCAUACCUGGAGCCAGGAAGCGCCCUCCUCAAUGCCCAACAGGUCUGCCUCAGUCAGCAUCUCUGAGAGAGAAAGAAACAGCCAGCAGCCACCACCUGCCCCCCACUGCCUGGUCACCAACAAGCCCGUCCUCCCUGCUCCCAAGAGACACAGAUCCGCGUCUCAGAUUAGGGCGACCAUAGUUCCCCUUGCUCAGCCACAAAUUCCUUGAAUGACACUCCCUUAGUUCAUCUUUAACAAGAUGUCCUCAAAAUAUCCAUGUGUAAAUAACUGUGUUUGGGGGCGAGGAGGUGGCAUAGUGGUUAAGGCGCUGGAUUCCCAUAUGGCUGAUUGAGGUUCUAGUCCUCAACCUGGUGGCU